rnacentral:rRNA from 1 species
AGCGAACGCUGGCGGCAGGCCUAACACAUGCAAGUCGAACGAAGUCUUCGGACUUAGUGGCGGACGGGUGAGUAACACGUGGGAACGUGCCUUUAGGUUCGGAAUAACUCAGGGAAACUUGUGCUAAUACCGAAUGUGCCCUUCGGGGGAAAGAUUUAUCGCCUUUAGAGCGGCCCGCGUCUGAUUAGCUAGUUGGUGAGGUAAAGGCUCACCAAGGCGACGAUCAGUAGCUGGUCUGAGAGGAUGAUCAGCCACAUUGGGACUGAGACACGGCCCAAACUCCUACGGGAGGCAGUAGUGGGGAAUCUUGCGCAAUGGGCGAAAGCCUGACGCAGCUAUGCCGCGUGAAUGAUGAAGGUCUUAGGAUUGUAAAAUUCUUUCACCGGGGACGAUAAUGACGGUACCCGGAGAAGAAGCCCCGGCUAACUUCGUGCCAGCCGCCGCGGUAAUAC